GACCUUACCCUGGGGGCUUUUGCUGUAAAGCACCCUGGCAUUGCCAGAGGGUACAGGAAAAACACUCAUCCCUCCUCAGGAAGCUGUUUUCUUUUGGGGCCUACAAAUAGGGUUACAGU